rnacentral:rRNA from 1 species
AACGAACGCUGGCGGCAGGCUUAACACAUGCAAGUCGAGCGGGGAAGGGUAGCUUGCUACCUAACCUAGCGGCGGACGGGUGAGUAAUGCUUAGGAAUCUGCCUAUUAGCGGGGGACGACAUUACGAAAGGAAUGCUAAUACCGCAUACGCACUACGGGGGAAAGCAGGGGAUGUUUGGACCUUGCGCUAAUAGAUGAGCCUAAGUCAGAUUAGCUAGUUGGUGGGGUAAAGGCCUACCAAGGCGACGAUCUGUAGCGGGUCUGAGAGGAUGAUCCGCCACACUGGGACUGGGACACGGCCCAGACUCCUACGGGAGGCAGCAGUGGGGAAUAUUGGACAAUGGGCGCAAGCCUGAUCCAGCCAUGCCGCGUGUGUGAAGAAGGCCUUUUGGUUGUAAAGCACUUUAAGCGAGGAGGAGGCUACUUGGAUUAAUACUCUAGGAUAGUGGACGUUACUCGCAGAAUAAGCACCGGCUAACUCUGUGCCAGCCGCCGCAGUAACAC